UUUUCUCAUCUUUUAAGACAUGGAAGAACGACUUAAAUCUUCCAGUCAUCUUGUAGUCUAACCAAGCAAAAACUCUUAUGGAGUUACUCCCAAACUUUGCUAUUACCCUUGUUGUUCCUGAUCUACUUCCUAGUUAAAAAAACCCAAAACUUUUGAAAGGCCAGGAAAGUUUUCCUUUAUGUAUUAGUAAGUUAACUUUGUCUGGUCGUCUAUACAUAUUCCUUGGCCAAUAUCUUAUGUCUGCCUUCAAAGGAACAUGAGGUGAGGAACACAGCCAACCAAAAGGAGAGAAGUACUAGAAAAUUAGACUUUUUAUUCAUGAGUUAUCAUAAAUUGUCUUUAUCACAGGAAUGUUCUUACUAUUUUGCUUUCAGAAAAGUAGAAGAAUCAAAUGUAAAAUACCCUGUCAUAGGUAUUACAGGGAAAGGAGCUGAAGUAUUUUCAACUCAGUGUCUGUUUAGUGUGUUAUGUCCACAAUUCUGCAUCCUGCAGCCAGAGAUGUAAAGCACUCCAGAAAAUCGAUACAGGAACACCCGUGCAUUGCGAUUUCAGAUGCAUUAACCAGCCUUGCAUAAGCAGCUGUCCUAAAGUCUGUACUGAGGAGGACCUGAAAGCUGGUAGGAAGUAAAAGCCACAAAGCAGAGGAUCCUGAGUGCUGUAAAACUAUGAACUGCAAUACAUACUCCAGAGCUCCUGCCCACUCAGCUCUUAACCCAUGAGGAGGUGAUGCCCUGGCUUUGGCUUGUUUUUAGGCUGGUACCCUUAGCCACAAGUCCUGAGUGUGUGGUUCUCUUUCUGCCUUGCCCCUUUGAGUGUUCCGUCUGACUUCCUGCUGGAGCAGAGGGCAGGGACCAGGAGCUCCUUGCUUUGCUCCCUGGGUGGGCAGGGACGUGAUGAGCUCCUGCCAUGUGCCAAAAUCCCCAGGCAAGGGAGGGAGAAGGGGAAGAGGAGGCUGUGGGCCCAUCUCCCCAGGAAGGAUGGGGUCCACUGUAGGCAGCACCCAGAACAGACUAGCACCAGGACCAGCAUGUGCAGGUACACUCAGUUCUUCAUUUGACUCCUAACAUACUUGUUUCAUAGCAUGGCUGUUUCCCCAAACAUCGUAUGACUUGGUUUCAGUAUUGUAAAAACAGUUUGGACAUCAGUAUUUCAUUUGCACUUUGUCUAACACAACCACUAGAAACUCUUCUUUGGAGUUAUGUUUACAGCUAUUUGCAGAGAGUUAUCCUGAUGGCUUCUGCUUUGGUGCCUGACUGACAUUUAGAACCCAUCUCAUGGAGGUCUUGUGGGGUUCUCUCCCUGCCCUUCCCUACCCCCUUAUGAAACUAUGUUCUGAAUUUUCAAUAGCAAGAAUGAACUGUUAAAACUUAGCAUGGCAAAAGAUGUUCUGAAUUUUGCUAAGAACUGUUUUGGUGUUUGUAACUGGCACACAGCAUAAUUUUAAUUUCUAUCUAGCCAAUCGUAGUGAUACACAAGUUAGAUCAUCCUCAGAAUGGUCACUAAACUCAGCCCUAGGACUCCUGGCUAUGACACAGAAAAUUUUGAGCACAAUAAAUGUAAUUUGAUUGGGAAACAUAUUUUUUCAUCACAUUUAUUUUAAUUAGAAUGGAAAGUGAUGUGAAAUUCCUAUUUUGCAAAAAAACAUAAACUGUUACCUACUAAUGGGUUAAAAAUAAACAGAAGCCUUCAUAUAAAAAAAAAACCCAAAAGAAACAGAGAGAAACGGUAAUGACAGUUUUGAAGUAUCCAGUACCUGUUGUGACAGGAAUAACAAAUUAAUUGGGACUAUAACGGAUUCUUUGUAAAGGUGAAGUAAACACACUUGACUGUAUAUUUUUCACCAUCAGUUAAGUCUCAAUUGGUUCUAAAAAUAAACAGAAGACAUUGAACAGUUUUAAUGGAUUUUGACACCUAGGUAUUAUGCUGUCACUCCAGUAUAAAUGAAUCAUAACUUUAGACUGCGCCAAGGAAUUACUACACAUUUGGAGAAAAUUUAUGGUGCACCGGGCUUUGAAUCAUGAUGUGAUAUCAAAACUAAAGUCACAAGAGGAAAAAAGUCUGGCAUAAAUUAUUAUUUACCCAAGCCACACAUAUCCAUGUGAACGCAACAAGUAUGGUUUGCAGGGUUAGUUAGAAAUGGCACUAUAAUUUCUAGGUGUUAACACCUCUCUGAGCGGCUGUUCUGGCAGAGCUCCCGGGGAGCUGCAUCCAGAGGGGACCUGAGCACAAAUGCUGGGCAAACCACUGCAGCUGCCAGAUGUUUGUUGCUUCUCAGAAUUUGACCUAAUUAAGAGUUUACCAAUGAAGAAGUUAAAAGGAAGAAUUUCAGCAUUUGAAUUUGCAGUUAUGGGUUAGGCUUAAAUGUACUUAUUUUAAUAUCUAAUGCAGGACUUGCAGAUGAUUAAUUUCUUACUUUGGGGUCAAAGACACCUUAGACUUUUUGUGGCUGUGAACAUCUCUAAUGUGAUGGGUUCAAGCUGGUUGUCUAAUUUGUGGUCAUAUAGGUAGGUAAGCCUUAGAAUAUACA